rnacentral:rRNA from 1 species
UUUAGUAAUUGCGAAUGAACAAGGAUAUGCUUAGCUUGACAAAUGGAGCUAUUGGCUUUGAAUUGUAUUGUGGAAAUGUAUUACCAACAGAGGUGCAGGUGCCAGCCUAUUGAAAUAAAGCGUCAAUGAGGGUGAGAAUCCUGUUUGUCAUGUGCAGCCCUUUGUGCACGGUGUAUAUUUGCUGAGUCACACUCCUUGGCAUUGGAAUGCAAAGUGGGUGGUAAGUUUCAUGUAAAGGUAAACAUGCAAUUGAGACUGAUAGCACACAAGUACCAUGAGGGAAAUAUGAAAAGGACUUUGAAAAGAGAAUUAAAUGAGUUUGUAUUUGCUGAACACAAAGUAAACAGACUUGAUUUGCUUGGUGGGAGUGUUGCACUUGCUUGACAAGAGCUUUGGGCUGUGGGUGUAAUGAUUCUUUCUUUGCAUGCCAGUUUCUAUUUGUACAUCUGAUUACCUUUGCACAUGAAUGAUAAGUCUCCUGUGGGGGGUGGAUUGCAUGUGCAUGUAAUGAUUUGUGUUUUGAUAAAUGUGUCUGGUGUAUGUGUGUGUUCCUGUGCUUGGGGAUGCUUCCUUCCUUGGACUUACAAGCCCUGACACACACAUGCUGGCAAAAUGCUUCUGCUUGACCCGUCUUGAAACACGGACCAAGGAGUCUAACAGAUGUGCAAAGUUUGAAGGUGGUAUACCUUUGUGUGCAAUGAAAGUGUCAGCUGGGAUAUGUGCACCAGCACCCAAUUAAUUAGCGGACAGAGGUUUGAGUUGGAGCAUAUCUAUUAGGACCCGAAAGAUGGUGAACUAUGCCUGAACAGAAUGAAUUCAGAGGAAACUCUGAUGGAGGUUCGUAUCGAUACUGACGUGCAAAUCGUUCGUCAUAUUUGGGUAUAGGGGCGAAAGACUAAUCGAACCAUCUAGUAGCUGGUUCCCUCCGAAGUUUCCCUCAGGAUAGCUGGAGUUGCUCAGUUUUAUCAGGUAAAGCGAAUGAUUAGAGGAAUUGGGGACAGGUUUGUCUUUGACCUAUUCUCAAACUUUAAAUGGGUAAUAUGUAGUGGUUGCUGUAU